rnacentral:ncRNA from 1 species
UAGUAUUUGCCCCAAGCUGGUGCUAUCUAGCAAUCUAGAUGGCUGAAAUGGGAAUCUGGUGGAAAUCCAGAACUGACGCGCAGCGGUAAAAGAGAACGAACGCUCAUCAAGACACUGCAUUAGUUUAUGUGGGAAGUCGAGCAAGUAGGAUGGUGUAACCUCGCUCUUAAGUCCGAAUACCUGCCAGCAACUGAGCCAUAGCA